rnacentral:lncRNA from 1 species
GAGAAGUUAGCAGAGCAGAAGAAAAUAAGCGUGAAAAAGAGAAGGGGAGAAAAAAGAAGAAAAACCUAGAAUUUGAUCUUCAAGAGGUAAAGGUUUGGAUUCAUGUUUUAUGGAUUAGUAUGAUAGUGGGUAAUGACAGGAAGCAUGAUUUAAAACCCUAGAACCUUGCUUGAAAAACAUAUUUUGGGUUUUAUUUUGGAGAUUAGAUAUGUUUAAUCACCAGAUGUUUUGCUCGUCGUUCUUUAUGCGUUGAAUUGCAAACUUUUGAUUUAUAUAUAUUAUUCACAACACUAGCUAUGAGUAUUGAUUGUGAACAAGGGGCUGAAUGCAUAGAGGUUCCUUGUUAUGCAUGACGAACAAGGGGCCAUGAGUAUUAAUUGUCAAAAAAUUUCCUCUGUUCUUGGCGUUGUUUCCUCUACCUGAUGCACCAUUAAUUCGACCCAAAUCCAUUAAGAUGAAACCAUGUUAAGUGCAGGUCUCUCGUAACAUGCUUUAAUACUCUAGAUAAUUGUACACUUGAAGACAAAACAAUUUUUAAUUUAACGAAAUUAAAUACCCUUUAUAGAUGCACAUAUCAAAUCUUUGGAGAGAACGUUAGACAAGAUCUAAGCCAGAUGGUGGCAUCACCUAAUGAAGGUAGUGGCCCGUAGCAUCAAUAGUGGUGAUGGAAUUAAAGGAUUCAAAAGUGAGGAUGAUAAAAACAGGCUUUGGAUGCUUAGAAAUUUAAUUUUUUUCAAUGGUUGAACCCUAAUGCAGAACAAGCUUUGGAUUUGAUCAAAGUAAGGUCCUAGGUGUGGCUAAAGGCUAAAGUCCAAAGCUUCAAAGCUUCUUUCUAUGAAUAGGAGGUGGACUCGGGUUAUUGCUUAAGGGCCUUCUCCAAACCUUUGAUUGAUUAAGUUGGUGGCCAAUCUUGACAAGGAAGGUAGGAUUUUAGCUGUUUCGUCAGGUUUGUUGAUAGGACCUUUGUAAUUGUAUCACUUUCUUUUUCAAUUCUCAUGGUUAAGUGGGGUAUGACAGGGGAUUUAAGACUAUUAAGUUAUUUUUUUAGAGGGGAUUUAAUUUGAAGGCUACUAUGCUUAUUAUUUGCACGUGUUUCUUUGAGACAAGUCUUUUGUUUUGGGUUGGGUUGAAGCACCCCUUAUGCUUCAUUUUUGGUAUCAAUGAAGUCUUUGGUCUUUUUAAAAGAAAAACACAAUGAACCAUAAAGCAGUAAAUUUGAAAUCAAUAAUUUCAUACGUAUGUAGGAGACAUUGGAGUAGUGAAGCCAAAGAAAUUUUCUGUGAUCGCCACUGGGCCGGAUUCUUGAGCAUGAUUAAAGUAACUUGGAGACCUAUAUUAAUAACAUUUAUUACACCCCCUCAGUCUCAAUAGCUCAAUUAGAUAAUCAACUAAACCAUAAAAUAAGUUAGAGGAAGUGAGUACACAGAAGAAGAUGCUUGCUCAAGCAGCAUAGGUCCAUAACCAUAUUGAUGAAUAGUAGGAUUUUGUGGCAUUGAUAAAAAACCUUGUUGAAGAUCUAAGUCUGGUUCUGACCUAAAACAAAAAACAAUAGCACGAUUGGAACUUUAUGCAGAUUUUUUAAGCGAAGAAAUCAUUUAUAUGAUGGAACAAAAGUAUAUUUUAAUGAAAGAAAUUUUAGGAAAUGAAAUACUAGAUACCUAGGAAUGGGAAGUUUUUAAGCGAAGAAAUCAUUUAUAUGAUGGAACAAAAGUAUAUUUUAAUGAAAGAAAUUUUAGGAAAUGAAAUACUAGAUACCUAGGAAUGGGAAGGGCAGGCAACAAAGAGUUUUGAGAAUUUGUACCAAAGAACUUUUGCAUUCCAUGGUGCGCCAUUGCUUUGAAUGAUUUGGGAAAUCUGAAUUAAAAAUAAAUAUGCAACCAAUCACCUAGGCACACAUUUCUUUACUGGAAGUACAACCAGAGUCCCGCACAAAAUAAAACAAAAAUGGAUGGACUCAACUACAUGUUAAUAAUGUAAAACUAACAAAAAGUUUAAAUCAUCAUUGAGCCAAAUAUUGUACUGUUUAAUAAGUUAUUGUAAUAUAAAUUUAUUAAAAAUAAAAUCCAACCUAAUAUUGUGGAGUACACAUAAUAAGGUAAUUUAUUGUUGCAUUUAAUAUUCUAUGGCCUACAAUGUUUUUAUAUGGAAAGUCGCAUAGAUAAAUAAAUGAGGUACAAAUCAAGUUUAUUCAAUCACCAAAGAAAAUUUUUAAAAAAAUUAUUGAAUAAAUUCAUGUAAUUUAUUGUCGCGUAUUUUCCUCUUGUAACCCAAAAAAUUUUAAUUCUGCAUUCAAUGUUCUAAGGCCCAUAAUAAGUUUAUAUGGAAAUUGGCAUAGAUAAGUAAAUGAGGUACAUAUCACGUGUAUUAAUGACUAAAAGAAAUUUUUUAAAAUAUAUUGAAUAAGUUAAAGUAAUGUAUUGUUGCAUUUAAUAUUCUAGGGCCCACAAUACGUUACGUUUAUAUCAAUAGUCGCACAAAUAAAUAAAUGAGGUACAUAUCAAAUUUAUUAAUUGGGCAAGAGUUAAUUUUAAAAAAGAUAUACUGAAUAAGUUGACUUUUACAUAAGACUCGCCUAAAAAAUAUACAAAAUUUAUACUUUUGCUAAAAUCCAAAUAGUACAUGUUUCCCAAAAUUUAAUGUCUAAACCCCCCCCCCCCAGGUUUCUAAACAUGUGUUACAACAAGCAGUUCAUCAGUAGUUCACAUUUUGUAAACUUCUCUUAUAUAUGUUGUAUGUUUGGACAAUAUUAAAAAUCAAGGGGGAAGAAGCAACUUUCCUUGACUUUUAGGGUCGUCUUCCAUGAUUUUAGCUUCACCAUAAUUUUCUACUAUGCAGCCAAACAUGCAGUUACGACUUUUUAAAAUGGUUUAUUUACUUUUUUUCUUUAAAACAAAAUAAAGGCAUCUCCUUUAGAUGAAAAAAAAAAUCCUAGGUAGCGCUACUUAAUGGUGCUUCAACAUCCACACCACAUGUAACACCCCAUAUUUUUCUAUUAAUAAAUUAUUUAUUAUUUUAGUUUAAUUAUUUGUAUGUUAUCUGAUAAUUUGAUAAAUAUAUGAUUUUAUUAUAUAAUUAAGUGAGUAGUUAGGAGUGGGGCCCAUUGUAAGACUAUUUAAGGGUUAUGAGUGAAUUAGAAAGGGAGAAAUCAGAAUUAGAGAAUUGAAGAAGUUAGCAGAGCAGAAGAAAAGAAGCGUGAAAGAGAGAAGGGGAGAAUAAAGAAGAAAAACCUAGAAUUUGAUCUUCAAGAGGUAAGAAUUUGGAUUCAUGUUCUAUGGAUUAGUAUGAUAGUGGGUAAUGACAGGAAGCAUGAUUUAAGAACCCUAGAACCUUGCUUGAAAAACAUGUUUUGGGUUUUAUUUUGGAGAUUAGAUAUGUUUAAUCACCAGAUGUUUUUCUCGUCGUUCUUUAUGGGUUGAAUUGCAAACUUUUGAUUUAUAUAUAUAUUAUUCACAACACUAGCUAUGAGUAUUGAUUGUGAACAAGGGGUUGAAUGCGUAGAGGUUCCUUGUUAUGCAUGACGAACAAGGGGUCAUGAGUAUUGAUUGUCAAAAAAUUUCCUCUGUUCUUGCCGUUGUUUCCUCUGCCUGAUGCACCAUUAAUUCGACCCAAAUCCAUUAAGAUGAAACCAUGUUAAGUGCGUGUCUCUCGUAACAUGCUUUAAUACUCUAGAUAAUUGUACACUUGAAGACAAAACAAUUUUUAAUUUAACGAAAUUAAAUACCCUUUAUAGAUGCACAUAUCAAAUCUUUGGAGAGAAAGUUAGACAAGAUCUUAGCCAAAUGGUGGCAUCACCCAAUGAAGGUAGUGGCCUGUAGCAUCAACAGUGGUGAUGGAAUGAAAGGAUUCAAAAGUGAGGAUGAUAAAAACAUGAUUAAUCGUUAGGUUAAUUUUGGGAUUUAAUUUGGGUUUGGGUUAGGUUAGUUAGUGAAUUAUACGUAGGAAAGGAUUAGUGUAGGAGAGUUUGAGGUGCGCGUGCCCAUGGCGAGUUGCGCAGGGAGAUGUCGCGAGAUGGCGAGCAUGAGCAUGUCGCGAGUUUUUGAAAAAUUGGGAGAAAAUCCAGUUUUGUAUAAUUAAUUUCAGAACCUGUUAAAUGUGAAUUAUAUUUGAUUUAUAUAUGUUUAAUAGUUUAUUAUUUUGGUGUUAUUUUUCUGAAUUGAUGUUAUGUGUUGAGUUGCUAAGUUACUGUGACUGCAAGUUGUAUAAUUGAUUACAUGUAAUAUGUGUUUUGUGCAACUGGUGAUGAAUAUGCUAAAAUAAUUAGGACUUUGAGAUGGUCUGAAUAUGCAUAUGUUAGUUGAGUUGUGCACAAUACACUGCAUAGUUGUCAAGAGGCAAUGUUUGCUUGUUCGCGUGGAGACUAGUGACUUGUCACAAAACUGGAGUGGUUUUGAAGCCUAGAGCGAGGGCUUUAUUGGUGGUUAUAUGUCUGGAGUGGACGCGGUGAUACCGCUAAGGAUAACAACUUUGGUACCAAAGGCAUUUGCACGGGUCUCACUUGAGUCAUAUGUGUUAGGGAGUUGUUGAUGCUAAUUAAUGAUAAUUGUGAUAUUUUUUUGAGAUUGAUGUUGUGGUAAUUGGAGACAAUAAUAUUUGCUUACUUGAUGCUAUGAAUUAUGGAGUAUUGUCAUAACUGUGAGAUUGAUUGAUUAUAUUAAAUUACAUAAUUUAUUAUUUGUUAGUGAAGUGUGAAGAAUUUAUGUGGAACAUAGAUAAGCUUUUACAUUAUUUAUUAUUAUGCUUAUCCAUAUGAUAUGAGUUCUCACCCUUCUGUUGGAAUGAUGUUCUAUGCAACAUCGCUCAGGUACAGAGGAUAGUGGAGCUUCUCACGAGGGUUAGUUAGAGGAGCUAGUCUUUCAGAUAUGCUUUUAGUGAUGGGAGUCAUGUUAUAUUAUGUAACACUGGGGAACCGCUUAGUUUGUACCUUGAUGUUAAGAGUUAUUUUGUGAACUCUCUUCAUUUAUUUUUGGAUUAUGUUUUAUUUUGAAGCUGAAAUAAAUCCGUUGUGCUAUGCAUAUGAUGUUAUGACAUUAAAGUUGGAAAUUUAUAUAUUUAUUAUGAGCAUG